rfam:Paenibacillus sp. MY03 contig8, whole genome shotgun sequence.
AACAAAAAUCGGGCGCCCCUUUCGGGACGCCCUUUUCAUGGGAGAGGAGAAACCGGACGAAGAACUUAUGGGGAAACGUAAGUCUUCUCCGCGG